UACGUAGGGGGCAAGCGUUGUCCGGAUUCAUUGGGCGUAAAGAGCGUGUAGGCGGUUUGGUAGGUCCGUUGUGAAAACUCGAGGCUCAACCUCGAGACGCCGAUGGAAACCAUCAGACUAGAGUCCGGAAGAGGAGAGUGGAAUUCCUGGUGUAGCGGUGAAAUGCGCAGAUAUCAGGAAGAACACCCGUGGCUAAGGCGGCUCUCUAGUACGGUACUGACGCUGAGACGCGAAAGCGUGGGGAGCGAACAGG
rnacentral:rRNA from 1 species